rnacentral:misc_RNA from 1 species
GAAAUGCGAUACUUGGUGUGAAUUGCAGAAUCCCGUGAACCAUCGAGUCUUUGAACGCAAGUUGCGCCCGAAGCCACUAGGCCGAGGGCACGCCUGCCUGGGUGUCACACAUCGUCAUCCCCAUGCAAACGCGCAUCGGGGCGAAAGCUGGCCUCCCGCGAGACAACCAUCGUGGUUGGUCGAAAACCAAGGUAAUGUCGGGGUCCCCCCGCGAGAAACGGUGGAUGAGCAAACGCUCGAGACCAAUCGUGGAGACUUGGCAAUCCAAUUGAUCGGCCCUAUUGCGUUCUUGGCAGAAAGCAAAGACGCUCUUAACGAGACCUCAGGUCAGGCGGGGCUACCCGCUGAGUUUAA